CAUGACCUGGAGGGUGUUUCUGGUGCUUAUCCCCUGUUCUCUUCUUGAACACACACACUCUCUCUCUACGCUUGGAACACACUCUACGAUUUGACGCUGUUAAAAUUCACAUGUGGAAGUGAAGGUUGAAUGACCGGUGGUGUUGUUUGAAUUUUCUUUCACAUGCAAUUUUCCCUUGAGUUUGCAUGCAAUGUUUUAUUUGAAGCGGUAUAUUUGGACCAAAUAAACCAAACACUUUUGUUGCAAGGAAGCUGACAAUGGAAUCCUGACGAUGUUUCCACGUAGUUGCAAGGAAGCUGACAAUGGAAUCUAAGUUGGUUAUUUCUGUUUGAAUUCUCUUGUAGUUUUAUGGAAACUUGGAUGCAAAGAUUCGUUGGUAGUUGCAAAGGAUGUUUGUUAUACUUUCGUGGAAUGACUAUUUGACUUUUGACUAAUGUUUGUAAAGUUUAGGAACAAACCAAAGCAUUACUUGUGAAUUUACAAAACAACUACCAUUCUAUUUCA